AACGUGAGAUUAGUUAGCGACAGUAUACAAAUCUAGUUAUUCAGACAUUGGAGAAGAAAUGAAGUACGUCGAUGUCAUCUAUGUUUUAAUUUCAAUGCUUGGCAUUUCGAUUGGACAACAGCAUCGACGUUGCCUAGAGCCGCCAUUCCAGCAAGGAUCUUGUGGUUCAAAAAUCUAUUUAUGGUCUUAUGAUUCAGCGACUAAUGACUGCAAAUCGUGGGUCUAUACAGGCUGUGGUGGCAAUUUCAAUCGGUUUGGGACAGAGAUUAAUUGUUUAUAUACUUGCCUAAUUAAGAGUUAAUACAUAUUUAUUUGCAAAUAUAAAUGCUACAAAAAUA